rnacentral:rRNA from 1 species
GACGAACGCUGGCGGCGUGCUUAACACAUGCAAGUCGAACGGAAAGGCCCUGCUUGCCGGGUACUCGAGUGGCGAACGGGUGAGUAACACGUGGGUGAUCUGCCCUGCACUUCGGGAUAAGCCUGGGAAACUGGGUCUAAUACCGGAUAGGAGCCAUUUUUAGUGUGAUGGUUGGAAAGUUUUUUCGGUGUAGGAUGAGCUCGCGGCCUAUCAGCUUGUUGGUGGGGUAAUGGCCUACCAAGGCGGCGACGGGUAGCCGGCCUGAGAGGGUGGACGGCCACAUUGGGACUGAGAUACGGCCCAGACUCCUACGGGAGGCAGCAGUGGGGAAUAUUGCACAAUGGGCGCAAGCCUGAUGCAGCGACGCCGCGUGGGGGAUGACGGCCUUCGGGUUGUAAACUCCUUUCACUAGGGACGAAGCUUUUUGUGACGGUACCUAGAGAAGAAGCACCGGCUAACUACGUG